rnacentral:rRNA from 1 species
ACGGACCAAGGAGUCUAACACGUAUGCGAGUGUUGGGUGGCAAACCCCGGACGCGGAAUGAAAGUAAAGGCGCCUGGCGCUGAGGUGGGACCCGUCCCCUCGGGGGCGGCGCACCAUCGACCGACCAUGAACUCCUGUGAAAGGUUUGAGUGAGAGCAUAUAUGUUGGGACCCGAAAGAUGGUGAACUAUGCCUGAAUAGGGUGAAGUCAGAGGAAACUCUGAUGGAGGCUCGCAGCGAUUCUGACGUGCAAAUCGAUCGUCAAAUUUGGGUAUAGGGGCGAAAGACUAAUCGAACCAUCUAGUAGCUGGUUCCCUCCGAAGUUUCCCUCAGGAUAGCUGGAACUCGUAAAGUUUUAUCAGGUAAAGCGAAUGAUUAGAGGAAUUGGGAAAGAAACUUUCUCGACCUAUUCUCAAACUUUAAAUAGGUAAGAAGCCAUGGUCACUUAAUUGGACCAGAGCAACGAAUUGGAGUUCCAAGUGGGCCAUUUUUGGUAAGCAGAACUGGCGAUGCGGGAUGAACCGAACGUCGUGUUAAAGUGCCAGAGUGUGCGCUCAUGUAGAUCCCAU